rnacentral:rRNA from 1 species
CCCUUAGAUGUUCGGAGCUGCACGCGCGCUACACUGAAGGAAGCAGCGUGUUAGAGCACCUGGCUUGAAAGAGCUGGGUAAUCCGGUGAAUGUCCUUCGUGAUUGGGAUAGGGACUUGUAAUUAUUUCCCUUGAACGAGGAAUACCUAGUAAGUGCGAGUCAUCAGCUUGCGCUGACUUACGUCCCUGCCCCUUGUACACACCGCCCGUCGCACCUACCGAUUGGAUGGUCCGGUGAAGCCUCGGGAUUGUGGUUCUUGCCGCUUUAUUGUGGCGUGACCGCGAGAACUUGUCUAAACCUUAUCAUCUAGAGGAAGGUGAAGUCGUAACA